rnacentral:rRNA from 1 species
CCCGCACAAGCGGAGGAACAUGUGGUUUAAUUCGAUGAUACGCGAGGACCUUACCUGGGCUUAAAUGGGGAGUGACAGCUGUCGAAAGAUGGUUUUCUUCGGACACUCUUCAAGGUGCUGCAUGGUUGUCGUCAGCUCGUGCCGUGAGGUGUCGGGUUAAGUCCCAUAACGAGCGCAACCCUUACCGUUAGUUACCAUCAGGUUAAGCUGGGGACUCUAGCGGGACUGCCACCGUAAGGUGAGAGGAAGUGGGGAUGACGUCAAAUCAGCACGGCCCUUAUGUCCAGGGCUACACACGUGUUACAAUGGCCAGUACAAAGGGCAGCUACCGGGUGACCGGAUGCUAAUCUCUAAAGCUGGUCUCAGUUCGGAUCGAAGUCUGCAACCCGACUUCGUGAAGCUGGAUUCGCUAGUAAUCGCGCAUCAGCCAUGGCGCGGUGAAUACGUUCCCGGGCCUU